rnacentral:rRNA from 1 species
GGCCUGGCCUGGCCUGGCCUUGAAUGAAUGAAUGAAUGAAUGGGCCGGAGAAGCAGGCCCAGAGGAAGGAAGGAAGUUAUCUCAUCUUCGCCGAGGCAGAGCAGAGCUCCUCCCCCUUCCUCCCCUCUUCGGCGACGGCGAUGGCCUCCGCGUCGUCGGCGGCGUCGCUCCGCCUCCUCCGCCGCCCUAUCGGCCUCGCCCCCCUUCGCCCCGCCCGCCGCCUCCUCUGCGUCGCCUCCCCCACGGCCGCGCUGGCCACCGACGGCGACUCCUCCCCUGCUUCUUCUGCUUCCAUGGCGCAGCCGGCGGUGGUGGACGUGAACCCGCCGCGCGGCACCAGGGACUUCCCGCCGGAGGAGAUGCGGCUCCGCUCCUGGCUCUUCGACAACUUCAGGGAGGUGUCCCGCUCCAUGGCCUUCGAGGAGGUGGACUUCCCCGUGCUCGAGUCCGAGGCGCUCUUCAUCCGCAAGGCCGGGGAGGAGAUCACGCAGCAGCUCUACAACUUCGAGGACAAGGGCGGCCGCCGCGUCGUGCUCAGGCCGGAGAUCACCCCUUCCCUCGCACGCCUCGUCAUCAAGCAAGGAAAGUCAGUCUCCCUCCCACUCAAGUGGUUCACCAUAGGACAGUGCUGGCGAUACGAGCGAAUGACAAGGGGAAGGCGCCGCGAGCAUUAUCAGUGGAACAUGGACAUUUUUGGUAUGCCUAAAGUCCGGGCUGAGGCUGAGCUCAUUCAAGCUAUCGUUCUCUUGUUCGAGCGUCUUGGGAUCACGUCUUCGGAUGUGGGGAUCAGACUGUCCAGCCGAAAGGUUCUUCAGGCCGUGUUGGAUAUGUACUCCGUACCACAACACUUGUUUACUCAAGUUUGUGUUAUUGUUGACAAGCUGGGGAAACUGAGUAGGGAAGAAAUUGAGAAGGAAUUGAUUUCAACUGGGCUGUCAUCUGAAGCAGUACAGGGCAUCAUUGAAGUGCUCUCUCUCAAGUCACUGUCCAAACUUGAAGAGGUGCUAGGCUCAGGUGUUGAAGCCGUUGCUGACUUGAAGAAGCUCUUCUCGCUUGCUGAGCAAUAUGGUUAUGCUGAUUGGAUCUGUUUCGAUGCAUCUGUUGUUCGUGGCCUUGCAUACUACACAGGGAUUGUUUUUGAGGCUUUUGAUAGGGAAGGGGAACUGAGAGCGAUUUGUGGUGGGGGGAGGUAUGACAGGCUACUGUCAACAUUUGGAACUGAAGAUGUACCAGCCUGUGGCUUUGGAUUUGGAGAUGCUGUUAUAGUGGAGCUGCUGAAAGAAAAGGGUCUUUUGCCUGACCUGCCACGUCAAAUAGAUGACAUUGUGUUCCCAUUGGACGAGGAGCUUGAGGGGCCAGCAUCUAGUGUUGCAUCCUCUCUGCGGAAGAAGGGCAGAUCUGUAGACCUUGUAGAAGACAAGCGUCUGAAAUGGGUGUUCAAACAUGCUGAGAGGAUAAACGCUAGCAGGCUGAUCUUGGUUGGGAAAUCCGAGUGGGAGCGAGGCAUGGUUCGUGUGAAGAUACUAUCAACCAGAGAAGAGUUCGAGGUCAAGGCGGGCGAAUUGCAGUAGCUGUUAGCUGAUCUGAUCGAUUUGAAGGUUUGACUUGUCCCCUUUCUGAUCAUCUUCAACACUGUAAGUUUUGCAAUUCACGUUGUGUAUACAAACAAUUAGGUGGCUUUAAAGGCUAUUGAUAUCUUGGUUCGGAUCAUUCAUCUUGCAACAAACAAAGAAAUUGUAGGUUUUGCCAUUCACCAACAUGUAUUGAGAAUGCCUUUGCUGCCUGAGAAUAGAAUGCUCAUCCGCUUCGAACUAAGGCUUUUCUGAAGCGAUUAUUUUUGGUUCUGUACAUGAUGCAAAAUGGAUGGAUGAAUGAAUAUAAUGAAGCAAGUAAUUGUCCUGCCUUGGAAA